AAAAGCUUAGUUGAGUUGAGUUAGGAUAGGAAAAAUGACACAUUUGGUAUAAUUAAGAAAGAAUUAGGUGAUAAUUAAAAAUUAUAAUUAGUCAUAUGACUUGCACAUGAUUAUGGCAGCCAUAAAACACCCUUAAAUCACCUUAAGUGCAGAAAACAAAAAUAAAAAAGAGAGAGAGAGCAAAGUGGCCGAACCAAUGGAGGAGGAGGAAAGGGGAGGUGAAAUCAAGCAAUCCAACCUUGAAUUCUUCACUCUAAAUCAAGGUAUUUUGCUUCCUAAUCACUUCUAUACAAGUUAAUUUCACUUUAUUUUAUUUAAUUUCAUGAUUUGGAAGAAAGAAAAGUUAGGGUUUAUAUGGGGUGAAAUAUGGAAGUUGAUGGAAAAUUGGGAAUUCAUGGGAGUAACAUGAUUUCAUUAGGUUUAAUUUGAUUUUUAGCAUGCUUUUAACAUUCUAAUCACAAAACUAACAUUAAAUUUGCAUGAAUCAACAAAACACACUUAGGGUUCCAUGAAAGGUGGUUCGGCCAAAUGGGGAAAAUUAAGGGAGAAUGGGUUUUGAUUCCAAUAAAUUAGUUAAAUGAGUUAUUUAAGCAUCCCAAGCAUGAAAUAUGACAUUAGAACAUUUGUUGAAUGUUGAAUUGAAAUUUUCAUAUGAGAAAGUGUUGGAAAGUGUAAGGAAAUGCUCAUUUUAGGCAGCCACUUUAAUGGAAUUAUUAAAUAUUGUGUGGUUGUUGGUUGAAUAAUUGGAAAUGACAGAAUUAAAGUACUUGUGACAAAGAAUAUUAAGGUAUUUUCUGAGGGUCCGAAAAACAAAGGAAACUAGUUCAUUUUGGCAUGUGAAUCUUGCACACUAAGAGUUUGAUGAAAUGCAUAAAUGAAUUUAAGAUUAUGGAAAUAAUAUGGUAAAUUGGUAAAAAAAUUGGCUAAGGUUCCGAUUAGACAAUUUCUUAAGAAAAGGCAAAAUUAGCUCGAGCGGAUAGACUUAUCGAUUAAUACAGACGGAAUAAAAAGAAUAGUUAGGAAAUUUAUUCUGAAAUGUCUGUAUUUUUCUGUAUUACAAAGGUUCAUAAAGAAGAAAGAAAAAGUACUUGCCUAGGAGUUGCAUCCGGCCCAAAUUUGGAGGAAAGAGGUUUGUGCACAAUGAAUAUUAAACUAACAAAUGUUUUACACUUUCUUAUUGACGAAAAUGGUUUAUUGCUAAAUGUUUUAUAUUCAUUGAGUUAUAAUUUUAUUACAGCAAUUAUUUUAAUAUUGUUAUUGUUGUGAUGAAUUUUAUUUGGAUAUUGUGUUUUAAAUUGUAAUUUGCAUGAAAAGUAUUGAUUGCUGAGAUUUACAGGAAAUGAUUCUAUAUUGUGACAUCAUGCUCACAAAAAGGAAAUGAGUUUUAUGAUUUUAUCUCUAUAUUUCACAGCUAAUGCCUAACAUGGUUAUUACCCGUCCCUCAUUUGUUGAGGUGACACACUAGUGUUUGAAUGGAUACAAUAUAGAUACCAUGGUAUGUGCACAUUGAUAUGAUAUGGUCUCCCUCAUGUAAGAGGUGAGAUUAGAUUUGAAGAUGGCCCUUGCGGAUUAUUUAUAUAUAUGGUGUUAUGGAUGGCAUGUGCAUAGUGAUAUGAUAUGGUCUCUUUCAGGUAAGAGGUGAGAUGAGAUUUGAAGAUGGCCUUUGCGGAUUAAUCUUGCAUUAGACUGGUGAGAUUAAGAAUGAAAUUUAAAUUGUGCAAAGGUGUUUCAAAGAUGAUACCAUAUGAGCAAAUGAUAUAUAAGAAACUGUUUUUUACAUGUGACCCAUACUUUUAUAUUCACCUUGUAAGUAUAUUUGAAUAUCCAUUUCCAUGACUUGUUUUAAAU
rnacentral:misc_RNA from 1 species